rnacentral:lncRNA from 1 species
GUUUUGAAUGAAACGCGGUUGAUGUCCGGAUCACCCUGAUUUGUUUUUGUUGCUCACGUUACUCUCGCGACUUUGGAUAAGUGUUUUUCUAUUAACGCGUGGAAGUUCUACAAAUAGCCUCCCAGCACUCCCAGUAAUGUCCUACAGGAAGUCAAGUUCUACUGGGGAAGGCUUGCCGUCCAAAAGAUAUGGAGAGCGUACCCCUCUGCGAAGUCUGGAGAAUGAAGCGCUCCACAUGUCAACUCCAUCGUCUAGGCUGAAAUCAAAGUCACAGCCGAGUGCAGAUGUUGUGAAAACGACAGAAGUGGGUUUACCUUAAUAAUUAGAAAUGCCUUCAUCAUUUUAAUGU